CCUCGCUCUUGGAUGUGUUCAUCACACUGAACCCACAGCCCCGUGUGGGAUGCAGACUAAUGCCCACUGCAUAUGUACCAACGAAGUUAUAGACACCAAGAGAGGAGAGAGUCACGGCUGGAAUGAUGUAUCUGCCCUGAGAGUGAAUGAUGGAUUUAAUGAACAAUAGAUGUCCAUCCCAAGCAAUACUGCAAGUUGGAUUUUCCUACAGAGAACAGUGAUUUGUAAUUACUUACCAGGGAAACUGCAGAUAUUGAUGUCUCAACUCAGCAGGCUGCAGGACAAGCUUGGAAAACAAGUAGAGCAAAUGGAAGAUACUCUGUUUGAAUUGCAGGAUUAUUCCUGAAAGGAUUCCUGAUGACUCCAGUGCCUUUUUGCCAGCAGGCAACCAGAAACAUCCCCAGGUAUUCAAAGCAGAGGUGAUGUUGGGAAUGGAAAAAGGCAAACUUUAUCCCAAGUAGCUUGAGGCCACUCCGGAAACUUUGUCCUGGGAGUCCCUGCUGGAUUCUGCACCAAGUCAGUACAUGGCCUGAU